GGUUUUCAGACAGCCUCUUUCUCUCCACUGGAACUUAUAUCUACUCUACGCCUACACACACCCACAAGGAAGACACACACACGCUCUAACUUGCUCUAUAGCCUCUUCGGUGGGCAAAUCUAGCAGACUGCGGAUGAGAGCUUAGUUAUUGUGUGUCUAUGAUGGUACUUUAAACUGUUGGUCAUCUAUAACAUAUAGCUCACGUGGUGUACAUCAGUUUAAGCAACUUUCAGUUUUGAGAGCUUGUGUUUGGAAAUGGUUUGGCUCCGUGGAUCUAAAGUGCUGUCCCUGCUGUUGACAGUGUCUCUCUGUCUCUGUGUGUCACCUUCUCUAGACACAGGUGCCGUAUUGUUGAAGUACACCAAGACUCCUAUGGUUGGGACUGAGAGCAUGCCCUUGAGGCUCAUCUGUAAGGCAGUGUAUGACACAAAACAAUGUGGUCGUAUUGAUGCCUUUUGGUGUCAUCACACUUUGGAAGAGUGUCCCAAGCUCAUUGACCUCGGCAAGUACCACACUGUUGUCAACGAGAUGGUUACGGAGGACUACAGUGUCAGACAUAGACACGUUGUAACAGACUUCAUAGAACUGACCCCUGCUGACCGAGGAGUCUAUCAGUGCAAUGCAGUAUGUGAAAUGGGAGGCCAUACUGCCAUGGGACACUACAUAAAUAUCACAGUCAAAGCAGCUCCAAUAAUAGUUGAUCAAAGAAAGGCCAACAAUGGUGGACUGAACUGGACAUACAGCACUGGCACAAUACUGUGGUCCCUUCUCCUAAUACUGGAGUUACUUGAGGUUAAUCAUUGAGCUGGUCUGGUAGCUGAUGGCAGAUGGCGUCAAGGCUGAAAAUGACCUAUCAAUUAUAAUGGAGAUACCAUCUACGAUACAGCUUUACAGUAUAUCAAACCCAAACAUUUAACUGAAUUGUUUUACAUACAGUGCCUUGCGAAAGUAUUCGGCCCCCUUGAACUUUGCGACCUUUUGCCACAUUUCAGGCUUCAAACAUAAAGAUAUAAAACUGUAUUUUUUUGUGAAUAAUCAACAACAAGUGGGACACAAUCAUGAAGUGGAAGGACAUUUAUUGGAUAUUUCAAACUUUUUUAACAAAUCAAAAACUGAAAAAUUGGGCGUGCAAAAUUAUUCAGCCCCCUUAAGUUAAUACUUUGUAGCGCCACCUUUUGCUGCGAUUACAGCUGUAAGUCGCUUGGGGUAUGUCUCUAUCAGUUUUGCACAUCGAGAGACUGACAUUUUUUCCCAUUCCUCCUUGCAAAACAGCUCGARCUCAGUGAGGUUGGAUGGAGAGCAUUUGUGAACAGCAGUUUUCAGUUCUUUCCACAGAUUCUCGAUUGGAUUCAGGUCUGGACUUUGACUUGGCCAUUCUAACACCUGGAUAUGUUUAUUUUUGAACCAUUCCAUUGUAGAUGUUGCUUUAUGUUUUGGAUCAUUGUCUUGUUGGAAGACAAAUCUCCGUCCUAGUCUCAGGUCUUUUGCAGACUCCAUCAGGUUUUCUUCCAGAAUGGUCCUGUAUUUGGCUCCAUCCAUCUUCCCAUCAAUUUGAACCAUCUUCCCUGUCCCUGCUGAAGAAAAGCAGGCCCAAACCAUGAUGCUGCCACCACCAUGUUUGACAGUGGGGAUGGUGUGUUCAUGGUGAUGAGCUGUGCUGCUUUAACGCCAAACAUAACGUUUUGCAUUGUUGCCAAAAAGUUCCAUUUUGGUUUCAUCUGACCAGAGCACCUUCUUCCACAUGUUUGGUGUGUCUCCCAGGUGGCUUGUGGCAAACUUUAAACAACACUUUUUAUGGAUAUCUUUAAGAAAUGGCUUUCUUCUUGCCACUCUUCCAUAAAGGCCAGAUUUGUGCAAUAUACGACAGAGUCUCCCACCUCAGCUGUAGAUCUCUGCAGUUCAUCCAGAGUGAUCAUGGGCCUCUUGGCUGCAUCUCUGAUCAGUCUUCUCCUUGUAUGAGCUGAAAGUUUAGAGGGAUGGCCAGGUCUUGGUAGAUUUGCAGUGGUCUGAUACUCCUUCCAUUUCAAUAUUAUCGCUUGCACUGUGCUCCUUGGGAUGUUUAAAGCUUGGGAAAUCUUUUUGUAUCCAAAUCCGGCUUUAAACUUCUUCACAACAGUAUCUCGGACCUGCCUGGUGUGUUCCUUGUUCUUCAUGAUGCUCUCUGCGCUUUUAACGGACCUCUGAGACUAUCACAGUGCAGGUGCAUUUAUACGGAGACUUGAUUACACACAGGUGGAUUGUAUUUAUCAUCAUUAGUCAUUUAGGUCAACAUUGGAUCAUUCAGAGAUCCUCACUGAACUUCUGGAGAGAGUUUGCUGCACUGAAAGUAAAGGGGCUGAAUAAUUUUGCACGCCCAAUUUUUCAGUUUUUGAUUUGUUAAAAAAGUUUGAAAUAUCCAAUAAAUGUCGUUCCACUUCAUGAUUGUGUCCCACUUGUUGUUGAUUCUUCACAAAAAAAUACAGUUUUAUAUCUUUAUGUUUGAAGCCUGAAAUGUGGCAAAAGGUCGCAAAGUUCAAGGGGGCCGAAUACUUUCGCAAGGCACUGUAUGUACAAAUAAGUAGCCUUUUGGCUCAAACGACUACAACAUUUAUAGUCAUUGGCUAAUAGUUUACUUAACAUUUACGAAAAAUAAAAAUGUGUUAUAAACCAGCUUCAAACAUGUAUGUUGGAAGACAGGAGGGUUUGUACUACUUAAAUUAAAAUUCAAUUUCAUGGAAUUUCAAUGGAAUGGAAUACUCAUUUGUUCGCUUGAUCACAAUUUUUUUCCAGUUGGCAUGCGUGCCUAUUUCUGUUUAAUUUUGUUCUCUCCCCUGUUCUUGCCACGGUGGGCUAUCUCUCUACACCUCUCAGGUCUGUGUCUGUUAGAGGAAAUGCCCAUACAGGACAGGAAACCACACAUAGCAUUUGCACAAUGUGAGCAGAGGUAGUCGCAGUCCAUGUGGUUGGAAGGGUGAGGGGGAGUAAAAGGGUCUGGUAGUCUUGUGAUGUUCAUUAUAUCUCAGUUUAAUUUGAAGGCGCAGGAGUGCACUGUCAUACUUUUUGUUCUAGUUGUCCAUACAUGCCUUUUUUUUGUUUGUUUGUUUGUUCUCUCCCCUGUUCUUG
ensembl:lncRNA